AUUGAACGCUGGCGGAAUGCUUUACACAUGCAAGUCGAACGGCAGCACGGACUUCGGUCUGGCGGCGAGUGGCGAACGGGUGAGUAAUGUAUCGGAACGUGCCCAGUCGUGGGGGAUAACGUAGUGAAAAUUACGCUAAUACCGCAUACGAUCUAUGGAGGAAAGCGGGGGAUCGCAAGACCUCGCGCGAUUGGACCGGCCGAUAUCAGGUUAGGUAGUUGGUGGGGUAAAGGCCCACCAAGCCAACGAUCUGUAGCUGGUCUGAGAGGACGACCAGCCACACUGGAACUGAGACACGGUCCAGACUCCUACUGGAGGCAGCAGUGGGGAAUUUUGGACAAUGGGCGAAAGCCUGAUCCAGCCAUUCCGCGUGCAGGAUGAAGGCCCUCGGGUUGUAAACUGCUUUUGUACAGAACGAAAAGGUUUCUACUAAUACUAGGAGCUCAUGACGGUACUGUAAGAAUAAGCACCGGCUAACUACGUGCCAGCCGCCGCCGUAA
rnacentral:rRNA from 1 species